rnacentral:rRNA from 1 species
UACGAAGGGGGCUAGCGUUGCUCGGAAUUACUGGGCGUAAAGCGCACGUAGGCGGCUUCUUAAGUCGAUGGUGAAAUCCUGGAGCUCAGCUCCAGAACUGCCUUCGAUACUGGGGAGCUCGAGUUCGGGAGAGGUGAGUGGAACUGCGAGUGUAGAGGUGAAAUUCGUAGAUAUUCGCAAGAACACCAGUGGCGAAGGCGGCUCACUGGCCCGAUACUGACGCUGAGGUGCGAAAGCGUGGGGAGCAAACAGG